UUUCCGUAGGUGAACCUGCGGAAGGAUCAUUAAUGAAUAAACUUGGUCAAGCUGUUGCUGGUCUUUCGGGGCAUGUGCACGCUUGCCACCAAUUUUAACCACCUGUGCACCUUUUGUAGAUUGGAAACAAACUUUCGAGGCAACUCGGAUUGAGAACUGCUGUGCGCAAGCCAGCUGUUCUUGUGUUUCCCAGUCUAUGUUUUAUAUACUCCGAAUGUAUGUAAAAGAAUGUAUAGCUAGGCCUUUGUGCCUUUAAAUCAAAUACAACUUUCAACAACGGAUCUCUUGGCUCUGGCAUCGAUGAAGAACGCAGC
rnacentral:misc_RNA from 1 species